rnacentral:lncRNA from 1 species
GCGGGCAGCAGGCAGGACACGUGGAAACGCAACCGCCAGGAGGAAAGGCGGGACACAGCGGGAAGGGAGGUUUGCCUCCCCUCUCUUCCUGUGGUGACCCCCACCUCACUUACAAAAAUCACCACCGACGUUUGGGAACCGUGCACGCCGACUGAAAGCAAAGCUCAGCUGACCUGCGAGGAGUCCCCGGGGAGCUGCCGCGGUGGUCGCCGUUGAGUCCGUCCGUGCCGCUGGGGCCGAGGCAGCUGGAGAUGUGGUCAACGGGCUGAUGGGCACGGCUGUGGGACCCCAUCAUUCCCCUGCCCCGCAUGACUCUGCUCUCCCAGCUCGACUGCUCACUUCAGACUUCCCUUAUGGAAGGAGUUGCCAGAUAGAGCAAGUAAAAUACAGUGUGCCAGACACAGGUUUAUUUCAACACUGGGAAGGCUCCAUUCCUACUUAAACCCAGCAGGGAACAGGGAGCGGUGUGCAGAGGAGGUGGCCUGCCCGGGAAGCCGGCCUUGGUGCUGGGACUGCAGGGAGAGGGCUGUGAGGAAGAGCACAGGCUUCAUGCACAUUGCACAGAGGAGGAGAUUCAUGGGGACAGCAGGCACUGGUUAGGCACAGCGGGAAGGUUAUCGAAGACAAAACACAUUUCUACCCAAGUUUAAAUGACCUGCUAUGCCCACAGAGCUUGAUCCAGAAGUGCACAGUAGAGACGGGGUUUCACCAUGUUAGCCAGGAUGGUCUCGAUCUCCUGACCUCGUGAUCUGCCCGCCUCAGCCUCCCAAAGUGCUGGGAUUACAGGAGUGAGCCACCGCUCCCGGCCCAGAACUUUUAAUAAAUAUAAAUACACAGGUAAUUUUAACACAUAUUCCUGAUGAAAUCAUUAUUAUCUGCAAUGCUUUCAUUCUGCUUUUUCUCUUAACAAUGGCAUAAACAUUUUUCAAGGUCAAUAAAUGUUUUUCAAAAUCGCAUUUGUAUUAGUGGCUGUAUAGUUUUCUAUCAAAUGUGGAAUAAACUCAAUUUAUUUCUCCCUUUUGUUCUUGAACAUUUAAGAUCAUUGGUUCAUAGUUACUAAUCAUGUUACAACAAAUAUUCAUGUAUUCCAAAUUUUGCUCAUUCCUGAUUAUUUCCUUAGAUUUCCAGGUAUGGAAUAAUUAGGUUGAAGUGUUUGAAAUCUUUUUUUGUUGGUUUGUUUGUUUUUGAGAUGUAGCUUCCCUCUGUUGCCCCGGCUGGAGUGCACUGGCAUGAUCUCAGCUCACUCACUGCAACCUCUGCUGCCUGGUUCAAGCGAUUCUCCUGCCUCAGCCUCCUGAAUAGCUGGGGUUACAGGUGCGCACCACCACGCCCGGCUAAUUUUUGUAUUUUUAGUAGAGACAGGGUUUCAUCAUGUUGGCCAGGUGGGUCUCAAACUCCUGACCUCAGGUGGUCCUUCUGCCUUGGCCUCCCAAAGUGCUGGGAUUACAGGCGUGAGCCACUGCGCCCGGCCGAAGUGUUUGAAAUCUUUAAGCAUCCUGGUAAAUAUUGAGUUUUGUCAAUAUUUAGAAAAGUUGCAUGAUUGACAUCGCUUCCACCCAUGUUUCAGAGCAUCUGAUUUGUCAGACCCUCACCAAAAAUGGGCUUUUAUCAAAAUGUAAUAAAAAAUAAAUACAACUUUUCCAAUGAC